CGGGGAUCUUCCGCAAUGGGCGAAAGCCUGACGGAGCGACGCCGCGUGAGUGAUGAAGGUCUUCGGAUCGUAAAGCUCUGUUACCAGGGACGAAGUAAGACGGUACCUGGGGAGGAAGCCACGGCUAACUACGUGCCAGCAGCCGCGGUAAUACGUAGGUGGCGAGCGUUGUCCGGAAUUAUUGGGCGUAAAGGGCGCGUAGGCGGUUACUUAAGUCAGGUGUGAAAUGCCCCGGCUCAACUGGGGAGUGCCACCUGAUACUGGGGAACUCGAGUGCAGGAGAGGGAAGUGGAAUUCCAUGUGUAGCGGUGAAAUGCGUAGAUAUAUGGAGGAACACCAGUGGCGAAGGCGGCUUCCUGGACUGUAACUGACGCUGAGGCGCGAAAGCUGGGGGAGCGAAC
rnacentral:rRNA from 1 species